rnacentral:sRNA from 1 species
GGAGGAGGCCUUUCAGGCAUCCUCUCCCAAAACUUUCCAAGGGGCUGGUCUUCGGACCGGCCCUUCUUUUUUGCCGCC